rnacentral:misc_RNA from 1 species
GGGAAUUGUACAAGAAACACAAGUAGUUGGUAGAUAUCAUAAACAAUCAUUUUUUAAUAAAGAAGAAAGCAGAUAGAAGAGGGGCAGAGAAAUGUGAAUACUUGGUAUAAGCUUUCGCAUAUAAAAAAUAGCAGAAAAAGAAAUGAGACCGGGAUUAUUGUUGAUAAGAGCCAAAAAGAUAAAAUUACAAGGGUUAGGAUGGUUUACUCAUCACCGUUCACUAGUGCUUAUAACCCGCAUGAAGAGUAGGAUGAGAGCAUUAGCAUAGUUUUUUUUUCAAAACAUAUGGUUAGCAUUUUUAAGAGGUACAAUGGGAAAAAGAUAUUCACCAAAGGAUAUAUAAAUGAAAACAAGUGGAAAGGUAUAGCAAUGAUUUCAAAAGGAUGCAAGGAGCUCAAGUGUGGGAAUGAGGACUGUUUUAGAGCCCUAUGUAAGGAUUGUAAAACUAUACCAAGGGAGGUUCUAACCAUUCAAGACAAAUAGGUAGUAAAGAAGUUCAUUACUAUGUUACCCAACUAAAAGAUGGUCAAACUUCAGAAAGAUGCCAUGUGAUCUAAUCCCUAUAAGGAUAAAGGAUAAAAUUUAUAAAAAUGAUAUUAGGCUUGGCUAUAUUCUAUGUUAAUAAAUGUUGAAUAGUUAAAUGAAAUGUUAGGAUGGAUAUGUAAAACACAAGAAAUAACUUGAUAAGAAAUGAGUGCAUUCUAGGAAGGUUGAUGUGACACAAUUUAGGCUUAGC